GGGAGUUUGUGGAGAGAAAACCAGGAAGUGGGAGAACAUUUGAAAUGUAAAUAAAUACAUUAACCAAAAAAAAAAAAAAAGAAAAAAAUCUCUUUUGGGAGGGUCUCUUUUUUUGAGCUAAACAACUACAUUACAAUACAGUAUAGAAAGACAAAGAAAAUUAUAUAAUCAUAAGAAAAGCUUGCUCUGUUGGUGAUGAUUCUCAGCAGCUAAGAAUCAAGGAUUCUAGCACCAUGUGCUCUGUAGAUAGUGAUCUGCAGAUACUAACCCUUUUAUAAGUAGCUUAGUCCUGUGUUUAUAUGACCUUAGGUAAAGUGUCACUCUAUAAGGGCAGCACAAAUUAAUCCAGGUAGGAUUUUGCCUGCUCCCUAAGGUAUUGAAUUACUAAGAAUGAGUUCUGCAUACAGAUAUAUAAUGUGCUUUCAGAUAGUACAUAAUAGUAACUCAUUACAGAUUUCCCACAGCUAAAUGGAACAUUCAUCAUGUCACAUAACCCAGGAAUCUACCACCUAAAAACUAAUAUGUAUUAUGUGAGGAAAAUAAAUGUAGUGAGCUUGUACCGACCUGUUCUUAUGCUUGUGGACACCUCUGAAUCAGGGAUGAGGAUCCCAGUAUCAGGUCUCCUCAUCUGUGCAGUCCUGAGUCACAGGAUGUGGCUGAGUUGUGGCUCUUGCUUCACAAUGAGGAUAAAGCUGUACCUGGAAUGCCUUUGUAAGGAGGAAUUUACAUGAAAAUCAUCAGCCCCUUUGUUCAGGCUUGAUAACAUCAGUGAAGUUCAGAAAACUCCACAUCCUUUCUCUUCUAAGUCAACUUGCAUUAUAGAAAAAGUUUUGUGUUUCAUAUGAAGAAAUAAGAAAAUGUGAUUCUGAGAAAGGAUCUUUGAUAAUGUCUUGUCUAGGAAACAUUAAAAGUUAUGUUUUGUAUCAUAUGUAUAUAUGAGGGUACACACAUGAAAGUAUACAUAAGCACACACACACACACACACACACACAAAUACUGCCACAUAUAGAUAUGGCAGCAUAUAUAUGCUAUACCCUUUCACACACAGAGAGAGACGUAUAUGUUUGCAAACACACACACACAGACACACACACACGCACACACGCACACGUGCAUGCACACAGGAACACAGGCACACAGGAACACAGGCACACACACACAUAUUUUAGACCCUCCUACUAUAACCUUACUAGUGAAAAUCACAUUAAUCUUCAAGGGCUGUGAAAGAGUUAAGAAAAGUCUCUUUUAUCCUGUGACUCACAUCCCUUUUUGUAAGCUAUAGUUUUACAUAAAAUAAAUAAACCAAACUGACUAACAAAAUAAAAGAGAUCAAUUUUCCCUAAGCAAUUUCAUGCAUUUUUAAGCAACACAAUGGUGGGCAGUUGAAAGAGUUCUGUGAUUGAUCUAUCACUAUACUGAACACUUAGUUACAGAAAAAAAUCAAUAUGAACAGGUCAUUAAACUCCUUGAAUAGAUGCAUCAGUGUGGGAUGUUCUUCAGGAAGGAUCAUUUAUGGUAUAUAUGACUCUGCCUUGUACUCCAGAAAACAGAAAACAAAAGGUAAGGUGGUUUUAAUUCAUUAAUGGAAGAUUUCAAAAUAAAAACGAAUGAGUACACACUAAGGGUCUCCAAUAAACCCAGCCACAGUUUCUGUCUCUCUGUAAUUAUUCAAACUAUUGAUACCGAUAACUACAUAGGUCAACUGUAAACUACAUAUAUGUGGAAGAGUUCCCCUUUUUCAGUUUUAACAUCUUAUCUUGUGUGCCAAAAGAGCCCUCAGAGGGCAAUGGAUUACGUGGUGUUGUGUGUUUUUCAAAACUGCAGGCUUAUGUAUUUGAAUACAAACAAGUACAUUGUUGGUAAAGUGGAAAAAAAAUAAAACAAGGAGCCAACACGAAACUCUCUCAGGAUAAUGGUACUGUUGUACUGUUAAACUAUUUCAAUCUGAGGCCCACAGGGAAUUAUCCAGUUUGUUGCUGUUUUGUUGUUUUUUUUUUUGUUGUUGUUGUUUUGCUUUGUUUUAAGUAGAACCCCCUCUACCUCAACCACCUUCCUCUUUCUCAGGCACUUUCUUAGUAACAAAAGCAAUAGUACACUCCACUAAUUUCUAAAGGUCUAGAGAAUUAGAUAAACUAAGAUGGAUGAACAUUUUAAUCAAUAAACAUUGUUCGUUAGGCUGUCGUGAAAUUAGCUGUGUGGGCCUGCUGAGUUUCUGUUGCAAUGCCCAAGUUUAAAGGCGUCCAUGAACUUUGUUUCAUUCUGAAGUGUGAACAGAUUUGAUACUGAUCCAGAACUCCUGCAUCGAAGUUUGCAUCUUACAAUUAUAGUCUCCAUAAAUUUCUCUAGAGUCAUCUAGAAGGAAAGAUGUUAUGCAUCCCCAAUUUGUUGUAAGAACUUCAGCUUUACCUAUGUUUGUAGAUGCUCAGUCAUGAAACACAAAUAUUUACAGGGAGGCUGAGGGGGAAGGGAGGAUUGUUAUGUCUUAUGUUCAGCCUGGGCUCCAUAGGGAGUUUCAAGCAAGCCUGGGCUACAAAGAGAGAGGUAAACUCUGCUUCCACACAUUCAAAAACAAAAGGAGAGUGACAGAGAAGGUGAGGGAAAUGGGGAUGUUAGGAGGGUAAUUGUUGACAGUUCCUUGUGUGUUUUCAUGGUGUCCUUCUUUUCAGCUACUUAUUUACUUCUUCAGAAAUACAAGCAGUGACUUUGAUGGACAACACAGUAUUCCUUCACUUAACAGUCUUAUUUUAAAAGUAAUUAUGUUAAUACUUGUAGACUGACACAUAGUGCAACAUGAACAUAGAUAUUAAUAUCACUUCCCCGUAAUUUACCCGUCAGCUCCUAAUGUAUAACAUUUCCAGAUUUUCCAUCAAGAAUUUGUUGAGUAUCCACAAACAUGUCAACUCAUAUGCAAGUCUGAAGUGAGUUUAUCUGUUUAUUAGUCAGAGGUGGCUGACACCUUUGUAUAUGAAUACUUGAAGCACUGUUCUUCCAUUAUAUGUGUAUUAUAUCAAUUCAUAUCUAUACCUGAAAUACCCAGGAUAAAUGUUUUGCUAUUUGCUGAUCCCUCCAAGCAACACUGAUUGUAUCAAAGCUUCAAUCUUUUUAAAAAUGAUCGUGUGUUUGAGCUUCACUAUCUAAUGAGACAAAAUUCUCAAAGCAAUUUACCUCAGAUUCUUAUAUCUAACCUCAAAUGACAUUAAGAUUUCAUUUGUUCUCUUUCACGUUUGGUGAAAGUAAUAUCAAUGAUUUUCAGGGUUCAUAAAAUUUAUCUGGGAACUUUUCUGUGACUUGAACACAUGAGACAACUAUCUUUCCUGUGUAUUUGGUUCAGGUUUGACUAUAAUAUGAUUUUGCACCUUUCAAUGGUGCAUUGGAAACCAAUGAUUUUCAGAAUUCAGAAGAAAAAGUGUGUGCAUUUGUGUGUGUGUGUGUGUGUGUGUGUGUGUGUGUGUGUGUGUGUGCGCGCGCGCGCGUGUAUAUGUGUGUUCAUAAUGGUAUGGUGUGUACACAUCUUUGGAAAAAUCAGAAGAACCUCAGAUUUCAUGAAUCAGAAGCCAUUCAUUUGUUUGUCAUUUACAUUGUUAGUUAGUUUGUUUGAGAGAGGAGCUGUCUCUGAGACCUGAGGUUAGGAUAUUAGACUAGACUGAAAUCAGAGCAAGCCCUACAGUUCUGUUCAGGGGGUUCUAAUGUUAAUGUCCUGUCCCCCACCUGGUUCUUGAUCUAUCAGUAAAGAUGCCAGGGGCUAACUGCUGGACUGAAGGAAAAAGUCAGGACUUCCAUUUCCCCUGAAGAAGAAGUGCAGAGGAUGAAGAGGGUUUUCACCAUGAUUCCGAGGGAGAAAAGUUUACAGUGGAAAGGAAAAUUUCAUUCUGAGAAUUGAAAACACCUGCUGAGAGACUGAUCAUGACACUUGGUCUUUACCUCCAUAGGAUUAUCAAGGGGAGAGAAAUUCAUGAGGUAUUUACAGAAAACCCUCAAUGUUAAACAUAUGUCCUUGUGCUGUGCUUACUAUAUUGAUGUUAUUUUGAUACUAUUACUAUAUUGGAGCUAUUUAUUUCCCUAUAGUGACCAUUUUUUCCAUAGAUAUUCACAAUUCUCUUCAGAAAAGAGAGAUUCUGUUACUUGGGAAAAAAUAUGUAGAAUUGGAUCACAAUGGAAGAAGUAAAAUGAACCAGGCAUAGAAGUAAAGAACGCUGUGCCACCCAUCACUUGUGGAAUCUAGACAAAGAAACUCUUAAGAGCAUAGUGGGAUAUUGCCAGAAUGCACAGAGCAGCCACAGUACACAACCAGCUGUAAGAGUAUAAACCCAGUCAGACCAGAAGUAGUAUGGAGUGUGUUCCUAUGUGUGCAUGCACAAAGAAGUCCCCCACACAACUGCAUUAAGUAAUUUAGUAUUUUUAAAAGAAAUAGCAUCACAUUCUCCUCUAAAACAUAAAUGGCCAUUUAAUUUGUUAAUGUACAACAGAAAUUACAAUUAAACUAAAAGAGCAACUAUUUUUCUUUCAUUCAACAGAAAGUAUACAUUCUAGAUUCAUUCCUUAAAUCAACAAGCCUAUAUAAAUGCAACAUUUCUAUGAUCUAAGGUUUCUACACUCAUUGAAAUAAAUUGCCUUUCACAUAGUAGCACUGGUAAUUCAAUCUGCAACGAAUCCAGGCUCUUCCAAAACUGUUCCUUGUAGAGCUAUGACUAUGACUUAAAGUGCACAGUUUUAAAAUUAUUUAUUCCAACUUUCAGCUCUCCCCAAGCCUUAUUAUCCCAUAUUUCUCUAUGUUAACUGCUAAUUUGUUUUUCCUACCUCUGGGACAUGGUAAGGGAUUUGAGAAACAAGGUUAGAAUUUUGGAAGAAAUGUUUUGUUUACCCUCAGAGACAAGGCACUCUCUGUACUGUGGUGUGAAGUAUUUGAUCAGUACACACGGAGUCAGCUGAUACUUUAAACUGGAGGGCUGCAGCCACAGUCUGGUGAUGCUGACAGAUGAGGAGGUGUAGGUUCUUAUCAGAAUGAAGACAGACACAAUAACUGUGGGAGUGCUUUAUCCUUAUUCCUUAUGCCUUUCUCUAUGGAUGCUUCCUGUUCUCCCUGCCUCAGUCAUUUGUUCAUACGAAAUUGAAUAUACAUUUCCAGGAGGCCUCUGAGUCACCACGCAUGUAACCUGUGACACACUUUCACUGACGACAUGAGAUAAAGUAUUUUCAAUGUCAUCUUACACAGUAUCAAGCCAACUGACAUUGCAAAGAGACAGUUGGCACCAUUUGUCAGUGUUUUCUUCUCUGCAUGGCUUCCAUGGGGCAACAGAAAAUAUCUAAGCUCUAGUCUUGCAGCAAAAUGCUCCCAGUUUUGUGAAAUUCUUUUUGAGCCAGUGAGUUGACUCUUUAUUAAAGAAAUACCUUUCAUGUUCAUGUGUCCAUAUCUUUCUCCUUAGACCUUCUAAGCAAUCCCUCUCCUACAAAGCGCAUUUCUCCCUGUUGGAAUUGAACACUAAUAAAUAACAUACUUAACUAAUAAUAUAUGUUGUGAUCAAUGGCAUAUGGAUGGGUAUGUAUAUACGUGAACAUCAUCUUGCAAGCAAAUUUGGUGCUAGCAAAGCCUGUUUAACCAACAGGAAUUAAGUAUUUCAUAUCUGAAAUUCUACAAUAUCCACAAUACCCUGCUUUUAACAGACAACAUUUUUAUGCACGAUGAAAACUGAGGGAUUUCAUCUUGGUUUUGAAAAAAUUUUAUCCCUAUGAAGAGAAAACACAUACACUAGAACCAUGAAUUGAAUUUAAGAAGAACAAAUAAAUAUUUUACUUGAUUUUUUGUAUUUUAUCUGUGACUAGAUCUUUAAUAGAAUCAUACAAAAUCUUUCCUAAAUUAUAGAAAGACAUAUUAAUGGAGCUACAGAAAGCAUCCUUAUUUUUUCAUCUCAGUCAUUCUGUGUAGCUCCAUGUGCAUCUAACUUCCAAUUUAACUUCCCAAGCCUGACAUCCUUCCAGCAUUUUUGCUGACACAAUUCAAGGUCAGUCUACCAAUAAUUCUCGUCUAGUGAUAACAGCAAGCACUUUCCUGGUUUCUUCUUUACAACAAGUAAGCUUGUUUUUCUCCAGAAAUUAAUAUAAAUAUCUUUAUGGUUUUGGUGUUUAUUUAUCCCCCAGUUGCUUCUUUUAGUGACCAAAAUGCAAACUAUUAUAUCCUCUGAGAUCUCCUGGUCCCUGUAGUAUUUAAACCCUGCAAUUAUUGGACCUAUAUUCCUUGCUUUCCUUUAUUUUACUAUUGCCCAUUUCUAUUUUUCUGUUAUUUUAACCACUUAUAAUGAUGAUGAUGGUGGUAGUGGUAGUGGUGGUAGUGGUGGUGGUGGUGGUGAUGGUGUUAGUGGUGGUGAUGAUUAUUGGAGUUGGGGUUACACAACAGAUUCAUAUGUGUAUGUCAAAAAACCAAGUCGGUCUAUUUCUUUUUCCUUUUCCAGAUUUAUGUGGAUUCUAGAGAGUGCAUUUUAACUCCAAACCUCAGUGCUCAAAUUUAGUCUCCAUUGUACCUCAUGGAAAACAAGCGAAUUCCAUGAGGUUAUGAAGUCAUGAGAACAUCUUCUUCAUGAAUGGAUUUAGUGCACCAGUGCAGUGGCUGGGAGUAGAUCAGUUCCAUGAGGCAUGAGAAAGGUGAAUUCUGGCAAAAAGGAAACUAAGAGGAGGCUUCCAGGAUCACAAGAGUAUCCUGCUUCUUCUGGAAGCCUUCAGUGACCCAGGACUUGAAACCCUCCCCUUCAAUCCCUUACCAGCUGGGUCUAUUCAGAUACAGCCUGCAGAGGUAAAAGCCCUGUAUUGCACACACUUGGAAUUUUGGCAUCUGGGAUGUAAAAACAAGAGGAUCCUGGGAGUUCACUGGCUCCAGAGGCAAGCUGAUUCAGCAAGAUCCAGGUGAGGGGCAGGUACAAGAUAGAAGAAGGCCUGUCAUUGGAGGAGAAGGUUUGAUGGGCAGGAGAGAAGUUUGAAGGAAAAGGAGAAGACUGAAAUGGAAAGAAGGAAGAGACAGGAGGGAGAGGGAGAGAAGCCAUGGCAGGUGAUGUUAAGAUUCUGCUCUGUGUAUUUACAGGUUGUUAUUAAUGUUCUUAAGGGAUGGAUGGUACUGGGCUUUGUAUGUUUAGGUGGGCAAUUAUAUCUUACCAAUUGGGUCAAAGUUUAUUGUGUUGUGUAGUCUUUCAUGUGUAGAUUUAAGUGUGAUGGAGUGUGGGGCAGCUGGUCUGGACCACCACGGAGUUGGGAUGUGUUUGUGGCAUGGAAGCCUGCCUUGGGUACUAGUUAGGUAGAGAGAUUGCUUACAGCUCAGAGAGAGGCCUUCGGCAGUGUGAUAUGGGAUGGAGCAGAGUGGGAGAGACACUUUGUUGACUGAGACUUAAGAUAUCUAGCAGACAUCUUAGGGCACCGUGGUGCCAGACCUAGGGUGAUAAAAGACAAUCCAUACCUUUUUUAGUUUUUUUAUGUUUUUACAACAACAAAUCACUUCAAAUUAACACAGAUGAUGAGCUUAUUGAAGUAGGCAAAUCCCAACAACAUCCCCAAGAUACAAAUUAAUCACUAGGUGUGGUGUGAAAUUGAUUUGCAGCCUCCAGAGGCUCACUGAAGCAGAGCUCUGCUGCCGUGGUGAAAUAAACUGAAUCAUCAGUCCACCUUUUGUCCACACCUUAGUACAGGAAGUACUGUGAGUAGCUUUUAAGCAAUUACUCAUAUUCCUCAGUGAUGUCAUUCCUGUAUUCUUCAUCAGAAAUUUACCAAUAAUUCAUGACACCGUGAACACUAAUAUCUUAGUGAAUCAGCAGGUUGGGAAGCUCAUAAAUAGUCAUAGGACCCUGUGACCUCUCAACACCAAAUAUACAAGGUUUUGAUACUUUUUGGCAUUAACUCAGUCAUUAAAUUUCUGAAUAUGUUGACUCUCCAUAUUUCUAUUUUAUGUUCUACUAUAAUACCAUUUUCUUUUUAAAUUAAGCUUAUCACCUGUUACAAUAAUUCUGAUAAAUAUUACAGGAGUUUCAUAAUAAAACAUGAUAUAAGAUUUGGACAUACUGAUAAGUCCAUCUUCCAGUUGAUUUCCUUUCUUCAUUCCUUCAUUCUUUCACUCCUUCCUUUUACCCUCCCUUCCUCUCUUUCCUUUGAUGGCCAUCUUUCAUUAACAGUACAACUUUCUGCACCUAUGAAACUCAAACUGAGAAGUAAAGAUUCUGUGAAGGUACCAGCUCGACUUCUCCAUGCUCAAUGUGUUGUGUGGAUGUUUUUCUCAGCACUGGAGCCCUACUUUCAGUUCGCAGAGAGAAACCCUUCGUUGAGUUGUUUGAGGAUUUCUGUGGGAUCCCCUUGGCUAACAACUCAAUUAAAUGUAAACCUAUCUUUGCACUGGAAUACUUUCUUAGUUGAGUCUCCUUAUUUCCCAAUUGUAGAAAUUCUCUUUAGAUCAUUUUCAUAUAUUCCAGGAAGUUUCCACUGCACUAGGUUUCCAUACCUCCCCUCAAAUGCCUCACAAUUCUAGCAAUCUCUCCCUAUGUUCUUUUCCUCCAUCGCACCUCCCUCAAAGACCAUCCUUUCAGCUCCUGUUCCUGACUAGUGUAACCAUAAAAAUCUAUUCUAUGUCCUCUUUCAACAGAGACCUAUGCAUCACCCAAGAGCCCCCCUAUUUACCUCCCCUCUCUGAGUCUAAGAAUUAUAGUUUGGUAAUCAUUUACUUAUCAACCAAUAACCAUUUAUAAGUGAAUACAUACAAUAUUUGUCUUUCUGGGUUUGGGUUACCUCACUCAGCAUCAUUGUUUUCUAGUUCCAUCCAUUUGCCUGAAAAUUUCAGGAUGACCUUUCCUAACAGCUCAGAAACAUUCUACUGUGUAAAUGUAUAAUAUUUUCUUUAGCCAUUCUUCUAUAGAGAUGCAUAUUGGUUGUUUCCAGUUUCCGACUAUUGUGAGUAAAGGUACAAUGAACAUGUUUAAGUAAGUGACCUUCUGGUAGUAUGAAGAAUCUUUUGGGUGUACGCCCAAAUGUCAUAUAGCUAGGUCUUAAGCUAUAUCAAUUCCUAAUUUUAUGAAGAAAAUUGAUUUAUUUCAUUUAUUUUAAUUGAUUUCCACAGUUUUUGUACAACUUUGUAGUACAGCAAUGGAAGAGGGUUCCUCUUGCUCUACGCUCUACAUCCUUCCUGCCAUGAGAUGGCAUUUGUGCUAUGGAUCGCAGGCAUUCAACAUUGGUUAAGAUGGAAACUUAAUUUUAAUUUCUGCUUCCUUGAUGUCUAAGGUUGUCGAGGAUAUUGAGAAUUCUAUGUUUAAAUCUGUACUACAAUUUUUAAUUGAAUUAUAAAGUUUAUGGAUAUCUAGUUUCUUGAAUUAUUUAUAUAUUUUGGAUAUUAGUUCUCUAUCACACAUCAAGUUGAAAAAAAAAACACUUUCUAUAUUGUGAGCUACAGUACUAUUAUAUCCUUUGCUUUACAGAACUGUUUAAGUUUCAUGAGGAUCCUUUCCUUAAUUGUUAAUCUUAGAGCCUGCUCUACAGGUGUUCUGUUCAGGAAUUUGAUUUAGGUGACAAAUCAUCCAAAAGUAUUUCCAAAUUUAUCAUCUAUCAGAUUCAACGUAUCUGGAUUUAUUUUUCUUUUAUCUUGAUCAACUUGAGAAUUUCUUUUUUUUUUUUUUUUUUUUUUUGGAUGUAAUAAGCAAAGGCGAGGUUUAUUACAGAGAUCUAUUAUGGGGAUCUCCGGGUCGACACGUAUCCUGCGCAGGAGACAGAGGUGUCGACCCCGAAGCUCAAAAGUUAGGGGUUUAUAUAGGGAAGGCUAGGGGGUUUGGAGCAGUUACACACAAUUGGCUAAUUUCUGGCGAGGCUAUAAGUGAUUGGCUCAUUUAAACAUGGCAGUGAGAUUACAGCACAGCAGGAGAGUACGUAUUGACUGGAGCGUACAGGAUUUUAGAAGCUAGGGGCGUAUCAGGGUUUGAAGGACAUCUGGUUAAGGUGUGACUCUGAGUAAGCUGGGGGAGGUGCCUUUCUGCCAGAUGGUUUGGGUCAGUCCUGAAAACUCGGGCUAGUUCCUGCAUUCCUUUUCUUUAUCUUUAUGGCCUGUUAGUCCUAGCAGCAGGGCGGGGCUGCCUGGACUUGCUUUUCACAGUGUUUAGCCCUGAGUUUGUGAAUUUUGAAACUUAUUCUUUUAAUUUUAUAUUUUUAAACCUCAAAUCUGUAUAAUUUUCCUUUCAUUCCCCUCUUCUUCUACUAAGUAAUUCUAAUCUUAGAAUUUUGAUAUCAAGUCUCAUAUUUGGUCUCACCAGUUGUCCUAACUGACUGGUACUGUUGUCUCAGAAUCAUCAACCGCACAGCACCCACUCGAUUUUUUUUUUUUGGUUCUUUUUUUCGGAGCUGGGGACCGAACCCAGGGCCUUGCACUUCCUAGGUAAGCGCUCUACCACUGAGCUAAAUCCCCAGCCCCACCCACUCGAUUUUUAACAAAAGCAAUUAACCGGUUUGUCACGCAGGGUCCAAAAACUAAAACCAAGAAAAUUAUUAGUAAUGGCCCAGCCAUAUAGCAGAGAGUAGGGUAGUCAUCCAGGGAGACCGAGUAAACCAAGACUCAAACCAACCUUGUUGAGCGUCUCUAUCUUUUUGUAGGAGUCAAACCUAUUAACUAGUUUCUUUAACACACAUGAACCUAUAAUCAGAAGCAGAAGCAAAACUAAGAAGGGUCCCAUAAGGGAAGAUAUCAGAGUAGUCAUCCAAGGAGAUCUACUAAACCAGCUCUCGAACCAUCACUGAAGCGCUUCUCUGUCUGUCUUUUGUCCAACCUUUCUCUUAAGUUUAUUCAUGGAGUCUUUAAUUACUCCUGAAUGGUCUACAUAGAAGCAACAUUCUUCUUUCAGUGUAGCACACAGACUCCUUCUUUAAGGAAUAUCAGGUCUAAACUUCUCCUAUUCUGAAGGACUACCUCUGAGAGGGAGGUUAGGUAUUCUUGGAGGUCAGCUAAAAAGUCUUUCAUUCUUUUUAUAUCUGAGUCAAUGGCAGUUCUGAAUUCUCUAUAAGCCUUGCAUUGCAGGGCAAUGGCAGACGUCCUUGUGCUGCCCUUGCAGCACCUAGAUAGCGUUAAGUAAUUCUCAACUCUUUUUUUUUUUUUUGUCUUACUAAGCCUUUAGCAUCAGGAUUCCAAUCUGGACACUAUCUAAACCUACAUACCAAGGUAAUGACUAGCUUUUAGAACUUCUAAACUUAUACAGAUUGUGAUCCCUGAGGCACAGUCCCAAGAAGUGUUAGGAGUACUAACAUAUGCAAUGUUACAUCAUUUGUAAUAGAAAUCAAGCCUAUCUCUACACCUAUCUCGAUGGAACCCAGGGCAAACAUGCUGAGUGUCCCUCUAGGUCCCAGCUCUCAGCCCCAACAGCUAGUACACGGCUGGUGAGGGCUGAGAAUUGAUGGCUGUCAGGGUGGUCAGCAGCACCAGGUAUGGUCCUUUCCAGUGAGGCUCGAGUAUCGGGGUUCGGUGCCAUCGUAUGUAGCCGAGUCUCCAACCUGGAACUGAUGAGAUGUCUUGGGGGUCCACGGGGCUGCUGCCAGCUGUGACCAGAUUUCUUUCUGUAUCACCUGUAGGUCUUAUAGCCUGGCAUACAAAUCAUUAUUACUAUGACAUGUUGGUUCAGUAACAUCAUCUAAUACAGUCAGAGGAGCUGAGGCCUCAUAUAAGAUCUCAAAGAGGUCUGAAUCUGGAAGGGGUAUUUCUUGCUCUGAAGAGAGCAAGAGGGAAGGAGUGCCACCCAGUCUGCGCCAGUCUCCAUGGUCAAUUUGGUCAGGGUCUCUUUUAGAGUUUUAUUUAUUUACUCUACUUGUCCUGAACUUUGAGGUCUGUAAAUACAACGUAAUUUCUAAUCGACCUCUAAAUACUUGACCACACCCUGGCUUACCUUGGCAAUGAAAGUAGGGCCAUUGUCUGACCAGAUCACCUUGGGCACUCCAGACCUGGGAAAGAUUUCUUCCAGUAUCUUCUUGAUGACUACCGGGGCCGUCUCUUGCUUGGCGAGGAAAGCUUCUAUCUAUUCCUGGAAAGGUACCUAAAAGCAAGUUGUUGGCUUCAUCAGGGCAUCCAAGAGAUGGCAAAGACAUCUACGGCACUGAUGUGCUGGGGGGUUGGGGUUCAGCCAUUCAAGAUGAUAUUGUGUUGUCCACCAUGGCAGCACCCACUUAUCUCUGACCUUCAUGAAGAGAACUGUUCCUGUCUGUAGACAAGGUAGCCUCGGCUUUCAGCAGGGGUCAAUCAACCAGUCGCAGAGGUCUUUCCUCCACCCAUGGGCUUCUGCCAGUGCUUGCCACUCAUGUUGCAGUGGCUACAGGUCAAGAUUGGACAGCAAGGUGACCAGAUUGUCCCCAACCCGUGGAAAGUCUAGUCCAUGGCAGCUGACCAGUGGUCCCAUCUUUUGGGACAUUCUAUUCAAAGGCAAAACAUCAGCCACUCUAUCACAGUUUAAGUCCUGGAUUGGGUGAUAAUUGUUAGUGCCCGGAUGGCAGGAACGGAGUGUUCCAGGCAGAACAGCACUAAGCCACAUAUCUCUCAGCAUCAGGUACUGAUGCACUGAGACAGGUCUUAAGCUCCACAUACACAGUCUGCAGAUAUGCAUACACAUGGCCAAACCCAGCCAUUUCAGCCCACACAAGCCAUUUGGGAAAGCAAAUUUCUCAUGAGCAAGGGCAGUCAGGAAUGACCAUGAACUAGUGGGUUACCGGCCCACGCCAAGGUCCACUGUUCUUCAGGUAGUCCAUAAGUAUUGUUUACUGUCAGUAGCCCCCUGUACUCAAGGUCUUUGGAUAUUGGUCCACUGGGGGGGGGCAUAGGAGCACAGAGCAUUGGGUCCCUGUAUCCACAAAACAACUGGGUGGGCUUACCUUCUAUCUCUGUGCAUAGCCAGCACUCAAGGACUAAGAGGCUCUCCAGUGGCCCCUCUUGUUCUUUCUUGGGCAGUCCCUGACACAGUGUCCUUUUUCUUUCCAUUAGGCACACUGAUCUUUAGCCAGGAAUUAACUUGAGAAUUUCUUAUAUACAUUUUGAUUGUUAUUCCCCUUACGGGUUUCCGGGCCAACAUCCGCCUAAACCCUCCCCCCUCCCCUUGUAUAUGGGCUUCCCUACCAAUCCUUCCCUCAUUACCACCCUCCCCUCAAUAAACACGUUCACUGGGGAUUCAGUCUUUGCAGGGUCAAGGGCUUCCCCUUCCACUGGUGCUCUUACUAGGCUAUUCUUUGCUACAUAUGAGGUUGGAGCCCAGGAUCAGUCCAUGUAUAGUCUUUGGGUAGUGGCUUAGACCCAGGAAGCUCUGGUUGGUUGGCAUUGUUGUUCAUAUGAGGUAUCAAGCCCCUUCAAGCUCUUCCAGUUCUUUCUCUGAUUCCUUCAACGGGGGUCCUGUUCUCAGUUCAGUGGUUUGCUGCUGGCAUUCGCCUCUGUGUUUGCUGUAUUCUGGCUGUGUCUCUCAGGAGCGAUCUACAUCCGGCUCCUGUCGGCCUGCACUUCUUUGCUUCAUCCAUCUUUAAAGAAGGAGUGAAGCAUUCAUAUUUUGGUCAUCCUUCUUGAGUUUCAUGAGUUAUGUGCAUCUAGGGUAAUUCAAGCAUUUGGGCUAAUAGCCACUUAUCAAUGAGUGCAUACCAUGUAUGUCUUUCUGUGAUUGGGUUAGCUCAGUCAGGAUGAUAUUUUCCAGUUCCAGCCAUUUGCCUACGAAUUUCAUAAAGUCAUUGUUUUUGAUAGCUGAGUAAUAUUCCAUUGUGUAGAUGUACCACAUUUUCUGUAUCCAUUCCUCUGUUGAAGGGCAUCUGGGUUCUUUCCAGCUUCUGGCUAUUAUAAAUAAGGCUGCGAUGAACAUAGUGGAGCACGUGUCUUUUUUAUAUGUUGGGGCAUCUUUUGGGUAUAUGCCCAAGAGAGGUAUAGCUGGAUCCUCAGGCAGUUCAAUGUCCAAUUUUCUGAGGAACCUCCAGACUGAAUUCCAGAAUGGUUGUACCAGUCUGCAAUCCCACCAACAAUGGAGGAGUGUUCCUCUUUCUCCGCAUCCUCGCCAGCAUUUGCUGUCACCUGAGUUUUUGAUCUUAGCCAUUCUCACUGGUGUGAGGUGAAAUCUCAGGGUUGUUUUGAUUUGCAUUUCCCUUAUGACUAAAGAUGUUGAACAUUUCUUUAGGUGUUUCUCAGCCAUUCGGCAUUCCUCAGCUGUGAAUUCUUUGUUUAGCUCUGAACCCCAUUUUUUAAUAGGAUUAAUUGUCUCCCUGCAGUCUUACUUCUUGAGUUCUUUGUAUAUUUUGGAUAUAAGCUCUCUACCUUUUGUAGGAUUGGUAAAGAUCUUUUCCCAAUUUAUUGGUUGCCGUUUUGUCCUAACAACAGUGUUCUUUGCCUUACAAAAGCUUUGCAGUUUUAUGGGAUCCCAUUUGUUGAUUCUUGAUCUUAGAGCAUAAGCCAUUAGUGUUUUGUUCAGGAAAUUUUCUCCAGUGCCCAUGUGUUCGAGAUGCUUUCCCACUUUUUCUUCUAUUAGUUUGAGUGUAUCUGGUUUGAUGUGAAGGUUCUUGAACCACUUGGACUUAAGCUUUGUGCAGGGUGAUAAGCAUGGAUCGAUCUGCAUUCUUCUACAUGCUGAUGUCUAGUUGAACCAGCACCAUUUGCUGAAAAAACUAUCUUUUUUCCAUUGGAUGGUUUUAGCUCCUUUUCAAAAAUCAAGUGCCUAUAGGUGUGUGGGUUCAUUUCUUGAUCUUCAAUUCUAUUCCACUGGUCAUCUGUCUGUACCAAUACCAUGCAGUUUUUAUCACUAUUGCUCUGUAAUACUGCUUGAGUUCAGGGAUAGUGAUUUCCCCAGAAUUCCUUUUAUUGUUGAGCAUAGUUUUAGCUAUCCUGGGUUUUUUGUUAUUCCAGGUGAAUUUACAAAUUGUUCUGUCUAAUUCUCUGAAGAAUUGGAUUGGUAUUUUGAUGGGCAUUGCAUUGAAUCUGUAGAUCGCUUUUGGUAAAAUGUUCAUUAUUACUAUGUUAAUCCUGCCAAUCCAUGAGCGUGGGAGAUCCUUCCAUCUUCUGAGGUCUUCUUCAAUUUCUUUCUUCAGAGGCUUAAAGUUCUUAUUUUACAGAUCUUUUACUUGCUUGGUUGAACUCACACCGAUGUACUUUAUAUUAUUUGGGAUUAUUUUGAAGGGUGUCAUUUCCCUAAUUUCUUUCUUGGCUUGUUUCACUUUUGUGUACAGGAAGGCUACUGAUUCAUUUGAGUUAAUUUUAUACCCAGCCACUUUGCUGAACCUGUUUAUCGGGAUUAGUAGUUCUCCGGUGGAACUUUUGGGAUCGCUUAAAUAUACUAUCUUAACAUCUGCAAAUAGUGAUAUUUUGACAUCUUCUUUUCCAAUCUGUAUCCCUUUGAUCUCCUUUUGUUGUCUGAUUGCUCUGGCUAGAACUUCAAGAACUAUAUUGAAUAAGUAGGGAGAGAGUGGGCAGCCUUGUCUAGUCCCUGAUUUUAGUGGGAUUGCUUCAAGUCUCUCCAUUUAGUUUAAUGUUAGCCACUGGUUUGCUGUAUAUGGCUUUUACUAUGUUUAGGUAUGGGCCUUGAAUUCCUAUUCUUUCCAGGACUUUCAUUAUGAAGUGGUGUUGCAUUUUGUCUAAUUCUUUCUCAGCAUCUAAUGAAAUGAUCAUGUGUUUUUUUUUUCUUUCAGGUUGUUUAUAUAAUGGAUUACAUUGUUGGUUUUCCGUAUAUUAAACCAUCCCUGUAUGCCUGGGAUCAAGCCUGCUUGACAAUGGCAAAGGAUUGUUUUGAUGUGCUCUUGGAUUAGAUUUGCCAGCAUUUUAUUGAGUAUUUUUGCAUGGAUAUUCAUAAGGGAAAUUGGUCUGAAGUUCUCUUCCCAUAUUGCGGCUUUGUGUGGUUUAGAUAUAAGAGUAAUUGUGGCUUCAUAUAAGGAAUUCGGUAGCGCUCUGUAUGUUUCUAUUUUGUGGAAUAGUUUGCAUAGUAUUGGUAUGAGGUCUUCUAUGAAGGUCUGAUAGAAUUCUGCAGUGAACCCAUACGGACAUGGGCUAAUUUUCUUUGGGAGACCUUUAAUGUGUGCUUCUAUUUCUUUUGGAGUUGUAGGGUUCUUUACAUGUUUUAUCUGUUCCUGAUUUAACUUCGGUACCUGGUAUCUGUCUAGGAAAUUGUCAUUUCCUGCAGAUUUUCAAGUUUUCUUGAAUAUAGGCUUUUAUAUUAGGAGCUGAUGACUUUUAGAAUUUCCUCUGAUUCUGUAGUUAUGUCUCUCUUUUCAUUUCUGAUUUUGUUAAUUUUGAAAUACUCUCCAUGUCCUCUCUUUAGUCUGGCUAAUGGUUUAUCUAUCAUGUUGAUUUCCUCAAAGAAUCAACUUUUGGUUCUGUUGAUUCUUUCUAUGGUCCUUUUUGUUUCUACUUGGUUGAUUUCAGCUCUGAGUUUGAUUAUUUCCUGCCUUUUUUUUUUUUUUUUUUCGGAGCUGAGGACCGAACCCAGGGCCUUGCGCUUGCUAGGCAAGCGCUCUACCACUGAGCUAAAUACCCAACCCCUAUUUCCUGCCUUUUACUCCUCCUGGGUGUAUUUGCUUCUUUUUGUUCUAGAGCUCUUAGGUGUGCUGUCAAGUUGCUGAUAUAUCAUCUCUCCUGUUUCUUUCUACAGGCACUCAGAGGUAUGAGUUUUCCUCUUAGCACAGCUUUCAUUGUGUCCCAUAAGUUUGGGUCUGUUUUACCUUCAUUUUCAUUAAAUUCUAAGAAGUCUUUAAUUUCUUUCUUUAUUUCUUCCUUGACCAGGUUAUCGUUGAGUAGAGCAUUGUUCAACUUCCAUGCAUAUGUGGGAGUUCUUCCCUUAUUGUUAUUUAAGACAAGCUUUAGCCCGUGGUGGUCUGAUAGGACGCAUGGGAUUAUAUCUACUUUCUGUAUCUGUUGAGGCCUGUUGUAUGACCAAAAAUAUGGACAGUUUUGGAGAACGUACCAUGAGGUGGUGAGAAGAAGGCAUAUCCUUUUGUUUUAGGAUAGAAUAUUCUAUAAAUAUCUGUUAAUUCCAUUUUUUUCACGACUUCUCUUGGUCUGUCUAUGUCUCUGAUUAGUUUCUGUUUCCAUGAUCUCUCCAUUGAUGAGAGUGGGGUAUUGAAAUCUCCUACUAUUAUUGUGUGAGGUGCAGUGUGUUCUUUGAGCUUUAAUAAGGUUCCUUUUAUGUACAUAGGUGCGUUUGUAUUUGGAGCAUAGGUUUUAGGAUUGAGAGUUCAUCUUGGUGGAUUUUUCCUUUGAUGAAUAUGAAGUGUCCUUCCUUAUCUUUUUUGAUGGCUUUUAGUUGAAAAUCGAUUUUAUUCGAUAUUAGAAUGGCUACUCCAUUUUCCUUCUUCAGACCAUUUGCUUGAAAAUUGUUUUCCAGCCUUUCACUCUGAGGUAGUGUCUGACUUUGUCUCUGAGGUGUGUUUCCUGUAGGUAGCAGAAUGCAGGGUCUUCAUUGUGUAUAUAGUUUGCUAAUCUAUGUCUUUUUAUUGGAGAGUUGAGAACAUUGAUGUUGAGAGAUAUUAAGGAAUAGUGAUUAUUGCUUCCUGUUAUAUUCAUAUUUGGAUGUGAGGUUAUGUUUGUGUGCUUUUCUUCUCUUUGUUUUAUUGCCAAGACGAUUAGUUUCUUGCUUUUUUUUUUUUUAUGUAAAGUCACAUUUACUGAGCACUGGACGUCAGGUUCUGAGUAUUUUGCAAAUAUUAGCUCAUCCAAUCCUCUCAGAAAACCUGUGAGGAAACAGUUCAUGGCACAGGCUAUUCGGAUUUAAGGGUGAGGUCACGUGGUUUGAAGUAGCAGAGCUGGAGUUCCAAUCUAGACUCUUCAUUCUUUUUUUUUUCUUUUUUUUUUCUUUUUUUCCUUUUUUUACAAUGCUAUUGAUUAUUUCUUUUUUUUUCUUUUUUUUUAUUUAUUUAUUUUUUUAUUAACUUGAGUAUUUCUUAUAUACAUUUCGAGUGUUAUUCCCUUUCCCGGUUUCCGGGCAAACAUCCCCCUCCCCCCUCCCCUUCCUUAUAGGUGUUCCCCUCCCAACCCUCCCCCCAUUGCCGCCCUCCCCCCAUAGACUAGUUCACUGGGGGUUCAGUCUUAGCAGGACCCAGGGCUUCCCCUUCCACUCGUGCUCUUACUAGGAUAUUCAUUGCUACCUAUGGGGUCAGAGUCCAGGGUCAGUCCAUAUAUAGUCUUUAGGUAGUGGCUUAGUCCCUGGAAGUUCUGGUUGCUUGGCAUUGUUGUACUUUUGGGGUCUCGAGCCCCUUCAAGCUCUUCCAGUUCUUUCUCUGAUUCCUUCAAUAGGGGACCUAUUCUCAGUUCAGUGGUUUGCUGCUGGCAUUCGCCUCUAUAUUUGCUGUAUUCUGGCUGUGUCUCUCAGGAGCGAUCUACAUCCGGCUCCUGUCGGUCUGCACUUCUUUGCUUCAUCCAUCUUGUCUAAUUGGGUGGCUGUAUAUGUAUGGGCCACAUGUGGGGCAGGCUCUGAAUGGGUGUUCCUUCAGUCUCUGUUUUAAUCUUUGCCUCUCCCUUCCCUGCCAAGGGUAUUCUUUUUCCUCAUUUAAAGAAGGAGUGAAGCAUUCACAUUUUGAUCAUCCGUCUU